rnacentral:lncRNA from 1 species
UUCUGUAUAGAUUAUCCUUGUAGUAAAGGAAGCUAGGUGCACGACGACGGAUUUUAGUCCUUCUCCUCGGGUUUUCUGAAAUUAUCCCAUAGCAUAAGUAGUCGAUAAUGGGUUGUCGCCAUUCUUCUUUCUCAACUUCAGAAACAACAAAAAGAUGCUUGAGUUUGGUUUCUUCACAUUCAGCCUCAUUUGGCGGUGGUACUACUCAUUUUUGGUAGACAGUAACUUGCGCUUGAUCAGGUAGGGUUAAAGAUGAAGCUAGGGCAGCUAAAGCAUCAGCCUUCUUAUUUUCUU